rnacentral:tRNA from 1 species
GGAGUUGUGGCUCAAUGGUAGAGCUCUUGCCUAGUAUGCAUGAGGUACUGUGUUUAUCUCCA